GAUGAACGCUAGCGGCAGGCCUAACACAUGCAAGUCGAGGGGUAGAAUUAGCUUGCUAAUUUGAGACCGGCGCACGGGUGCGUAACGCGUAUGCAAUCUGCCUUGUACUGAGGGAUAGCCCAGAGAAAUUUGGAUUAAUACCUCAUAGUAUUAUGAAAUCGCAUGAUUUUAUAAUUAAAGUUCCAACGGUACAAGAUGAGCAUGCGUCCCAUUAGUUAGUUGGUAAGGUAACGGCUUACCAAGACGAUGAUGGGUAGGGGUCCUGAGAGGGAGAUCCCCCACACUGGUACUGAGACACGGACCAGACUCCUACGGGAGGCAGCAGUGAGGAAUAUUGGUCAAUGGACGCAAGUCUGAACCAGCCAUGCCGCGUGCAGGAUGAAGCAUCUAUGGUGUGUAAACUGCUUUUGUACGGGAAGAAACACUCCUACGUGUAGGAGCUUGACGGUACCGUAAGAAUAAGGAUCGGCUAACUCCGUGCCAGCAGCCGCCGUAACAC
rnacentral:rRNA from 1 species